rnacentral:rRNA from 1 species
AUACGAAAGGUGCAAGCGUUGUUCGGAUUUACUGGGCGUAAAGAGAGUGUAGGUGGUUUAUUAAGUCGGAUGUGAAAUCCCGGGGCUCAACCUCGGAACUGCAUUCGAUACUGAUAGGCUAGAGUUUGGGAGGGGUAAGCGGAAUUCCGUGUGUAGCAGUGAAAUGCGUAGAUAUACGGAGGAACACCCGAGGCGAAGGCGGCUUACUGGACCAAUACUGACACUGAGACUCGAAAGCGUGGGUAGCAAACAGGAUUAGAAACCCCGGUAGUCC